UGCUUUAGUGCAUCCGGUGCUGCGAGUCUGGGAUGAGACACUGCAACCCGAGAGGGAGCAAGCGCGAGGCUGGGAGCAGAGAGGCUCGGCUCCCAGAUAUGGAAGGAAGUGAGAAAUGACAGGGUGGGGAGCUGUGAGGAGCGCCAAGUGGAUUCUCAGCAAAGGGGGGAAGCCAUAGCAGAGCUAAAGGUGAUUAGAGGGGGAUAUUGAUUCCUUAUUCUGCCAGAGAUUUAAGCAGGCAUGCGAGGAAUCUGCAGCAUGGUUGGCAAAAGGGGACCCGUUGCCUCCUGUAACCAGACACUCAGGCUUUCCAGGAGCCUAGGGAGAGAGCCGAGAAGAAAGGGGGCAGUGUGGGCUAGGCAAAUCCAGCUUGUCGCUGAUUUGUGCCUGAUGCUUGCUGUCCGUCAGCAGCCUCCCUUACAAUCUUUUUUCUCUCUCCCUUUUUUUCCCCCUUGCCUUCUCCUUCUUCACUGAAGCCUAGGGGAGCCAGUAAAGAUUAAAUGUGCUUUCUCAAAGGCGGCCACUUCACGCUGCUAUGUCGAAAGGGCCAUUAUUAUUAUUAUUUUUAAUAGUCAAAGAAAAAGGGAGAGAGGUUGAGAGAGAGAGGGAGAAGCUAGGUCUGAGGAGGACGGACUAGCUUUUCUGAGAGAGGAAAAGGAGAAGGGAAGGGAAAGCAAAAGGAGAGAGCCCGAGCUGGACGGAGGAUUGUGCCUGAGAAGAACCUACGGAGCAUAAACUAGAGUUACAGUCUCUAGAUUUGGUGUAUCGCUUCCUGCCCCCGCCUCCCCUCCCCGCCCCCGUUCUCGUACACCUCGCCCAGCCUAGCGCACGGGGAGCUCACAUUUCCCCCCCUUGCUCGGGAUGGUGGUGCAGGAAGCCCGUGCUGCUUCGAAUGGUUGUGUUGAUGUUCCUUCCAGCUGUUCCCAUAGCCCCCCUCCUCAGGAAUCUCUCCCCAGUGAAAAGACAAAGACCUCAGAGACUACUCUAUUGAUGGACCCUCAAGCCAGCUAUGAAGUUGAAACAAAGAAAGUGCUCACCUGAGGACACCUCUUCUGCUAAGCGACACACCCACAGGGUGCAGCUUCCACCAGUAGAAGUCUUGAACAGGAGGCAGGCUUUUCAAGAAGCAGAAAAGCUUAACGACUUCAUAAUCUAGAUUUCUAAUGAGCCAAGAAGGUUCCCUUCCUUGUGUGUAUUCCUCUGUUUGUAUUUAAAUUCAUGUGACAUUUAAUUUUUUUUCCUAAUAUGGAUGUGUUUAGCAAUGCACUAGAAUUCAAAUUUAAAAAUCUAGACUUGCACUAAUGUGUCAAUGUUUGAGGGAACGACAUUAAUAUAAGGAGAAUGACUUUUAGCCAUGCACAGUUUGAUCUUAAGAGUGGCCUAGAGAAUAAAAAGUAGUUUUGGAGUAACAAAGUAGUCAAAGGCAAUCCAAAGGAAAAGAUAAUGGUGGAAACUCAUACGGCAGCGUAGAAGUACGAUGUUAUUCCACCGUUAUCUUAAUCAAGCAAGCUAGCUUCUGGGAGAUCCAGUCACUGCUUUUAAAGACCUUAAGUCUGUUAGACAAAGGUAUAUACAUCUUUGAAAAGGUAAAUAACACGUCAGAAGAUGGUAAGGA